rnacentral:lncRNA from 1 species
UGCCUGUGUAAACACCAUGACUCUGGGUUCUGCUCAGCAGACUGAAGGGAACACAACUAUGAUGAUUCUCUAUGCUGUACUUGGAGAAGGCUGGUUAGUCAUAAGUUUUAAAGCAGGUUUUUAGAUCAAAAAGAAUUGUACUCAAGGAAUUGAAGCUAUGGAGCCUCUGCCACAUCUGGACCUGAUUUUGAUGACAAGAUCCUGUACCUCAAGCCCGAGACUAAUUUCAUAAUUUGAUGAAUCUUUUUGGAGAGUCAUGGGAGGAAUGUAAACAAUUUGUGGCCAAAGGAGAAUUAUGGUAGUUUGAAGAUGUGGAUACAAAUUAUUUGACAUUCUUCUCAUAGAAAGGUAACUCCAUAGCUGGGAGCCAAGUCUCGAAGCCCCAUGAGGGGAAGUGGAUACAUCUCAGAAUUGGGUUUCCUGAUACACACGACUGCAUCCUUCAUCUGCCAGGCCCUGGCAUUGUUUACUGGAGAAGAUGUCAUAGGAAAUUGGGCUAUGUCAUUGAGCCACUGGAGUCACACAUGAACAGCCAUUUGGAGAUUCUGGAAUUGAUGGUUCAGAUGAAGACAUGGAAGCAUAAGAAAUUGCCAAUAUUCACUUUGGGAGACCGAGACGGGCAGAUCACCUGAGGUCAGGAGUUCGAGACCAGCCUGGCUAAUAAGGAGGAGGAAAUUUGGAAUGCACAGAGACACUCCAGGUGAACGAGCACAGAGGAGAGGUCGUGUGAGGACAUGGUGAGAAGGUGGCCAUCCUUGAGGCCAGAAAGAGAGGCCUCAGAAGAAACCAAACCUGCUGACGCCUUGAUCUUGGACCUCCAGCUUCCAGAACUGUGAGAAAAUAAUUGUCUGUGCUUAAGCCACUCAGUAUGUGGUAUUUUGUAUGGCAGCUUUGUUAAACUGACACAGAAUCCAAAGGUUAACAUCUCUCCUCAUCAUACUUAAAACUUCACCCAGUAGUAUAAUGAAGAAUGAAAUAAACUUGGCUCUUCACUCUUACUCGUGCAUGGGGAAGAGUGUGAAGAAGGGAAAUAGAGAAAGGGCUGUGUAUCUUUCUUCCCUGAACACUAUGUGCAGAAUGCUGCUGAAACAUUGCUCUAAUUUUGGGAUUGAGUGGAGGCUUUCUGGAGGAAAUCGUGCCUGAAUUAAAUCAUGAUAGAUGAAUGGGGCUUAGGCCCAUGACUAAACUUUUGGGAAAUGCAUUGCAGAUUGAAAGAGCAAUCUGAGUGGAUUCAUGGAGGCAAGAAAUAGCAUGAUAUUUGUAUGUCAACAGUAUCAGGACUUUGGUAUUAAUGGAGAGUAGGUGUGAAACAAGAGUGACAGGAGAGCCUGGAGAAGGAAGGAGAGGAGAGAACCAUAUCUAGGUUUUUAGCAGGAGGCAGAAGUGGUCCAGUGCAUGUUUCUGAGAGUGAACUAUGACUACCAUGCUAGAGUGAAUUCAAAGUGAGUGUGGCUAGAAGAAGAUGAAUUAGGCACCUAUUACAGUCAGGCAGCAAUAAUGAGGCCUUGACUCAGGCAGAGACACCUCCCGUGCAGUGGAGGUCAUGAAUUCCUGCUAUGCUUUCCAACAAGGCUUGGAAACCUAGUGAUUAAGUGGAUGCAGUACAGGAGUUGUGCAGAUGGAUCCUGCCAUUGCUGGAGGAAAAUAGAAAGAGGAGCAGGGCCUUUGAUUUUGAAGCUAAUAUGUUGACUUCUCCACUUAUUUCUUUCUUUUCAUUUUGUUAAGCGCAUUUUUGUUAA